rnacentral:rRNA from 1 species
UACGAAGGGUGCAAGCGUUACUCGGAAUUACUGGGCGUAAAGCGUGCGUAGGUGGUGCGUUAAGUCUGUCGUGAAAGCCCCGGGCUCAACCUGGGAAUGGCGAUGGAUACUGGCUCGCUAGAGUGCGGUAGAGGAGAGUGGAAUUCCCGGUGUAGCAGUGAAAUGCGUAGAGAUCGGGAGGAACAUCAGUGGCGAAGGCGGCUCUCUGGACCAGCACUGACACUGAGGCACGAAAGCGUGGGGAGCAAACAGG